AUUAAACGCUGGCGGCAGGCCUAACACAUGCAAGUCGAGCGGUAGAGAGAAGCUUGCUUCUCUUGAGAGCGGCGGACGGGUGAGUAAUGCCUAGGAAUCUGCCUGGUAGUGGGGGAUAACGUUCGGAAACGGACGCUAAUACCGCAUACGUCCUACGGGAGAAAGCAGGGGACCUUCGGGCCUUGCGCUAUCAGAUGAGCCUAGGUCGGAUUAGCUAGUUGGUGGGGUAAUGGCUCACCAAGGCGACGAUCCGUAACUGGUCUGAGAGGAUGAUCAGUCACACUGGAACUGAGACACGGUCCAGACUCCUACGGGAGGCAGCAGUGGGGAAUAUUGGACAAUGGGCGAAAGCCUGAUCCAGCCAUGCCGCGUGUGUGAAGAAGGUCUUCGGAUUGUAAAGCACUUUAAGUUGGGAGGAAGGGCAGUAAAUUAAUACUUUGCUGUUUUGACGUUACCGACAGAAUAAGCACCGGCUAACUCUGUG
rnacentral:rRNA from 1 species